ensembl:misc_RNA
ACUAGAGCAAUCUUUCUCAAAGUUUAGUCAUUUUUUUUUUCCUUUUUGAUAGUAUUCAAUGAGAAAUAACACUUUAAAUAAAACUUUUUCCAUGAGGAAGGUACAGUAAUUAUCCAC